GAUGAACGCUGGCGGCGUGCCUAAUACAUGCAAGUCGAGCGAACGGACGAUAAGCUUGCGUUUCUGAUGUUAGCGGCGGACGGGUGAGUAACACGUGGAUAACCCUGCUCUUAGACUUGGGUAAGUGCGGGUAACCGGAGCUAAUACCGGAUAAUAUUUUGAACCGCAUGGUUCAAAAGUUAAAGACGGUUUGGCUGUCACUUCUAGCUGGAUCCGCGCUGCAUUAGCUAGUUGGUAAGGUAACGGCUUACCAAGGCAACGAUGCAUAGCCGACCUGAGAGGGUGAUCGGCCACACUGGAACUGAGACACGGUCCAGACUCCUACGGGAGGCAGCAGUAGGGAAUCUUCCGCAAUGGGCGAAAGCCUGACGGAGCAACGCCGCGUGAGUGAUGAAGGUCUUCGGAUCGUAAAACUCUGUUAUUAGGGAAGAACAUAUGUGUAAGUAACUGUGCACAUCUUGACGGUACCUAAUCAGAAAGCCACGGCUAACUACGUG
rnacentral:rRNA from 1 species